UGGGGAAUAUUGCACAAUGGGCGCAAGCCUGAUGCAGCCAUGCCGCGUGUAUGAAGAAGGCCUUCGGGUUGUAAAGUACUUUCAGCGAGGAGGAAGGCGUUGUGGUUAAUAACCGCAACGAUUGACGUUACUCGCAGAAGAAGCACCGGCUAACUCCGUGCCAGCAGCCGCGGUAAUACGGAGGGUGCAAGCGUUAAUCGGAAUUACUGGGCGUAAAGCGCACGCAGGCGGUCUGUCAAGUCGGAUGUGAAAUCCCCGGGCUCAACCUGGGAACUGCAUCCGAAACUGGCAGGCUAGAGUCUUGUAGAGGGGGGUAGAAUUCCAGGUGUAGCGGUGAAAUGCGUAGAGAUCUGGAGGAAUACCGGUGGCGAAGGCGGCCCCCUAGACAAAGACUGACGCUCAGGUGCGAAAGCGUGGGGAGCAAACA
rnacentral:rRNA from 1 species